UAAGUAACUCAAUAUUCAUUUUUACUUCAGUACAAAUGCAGCUUGACUACAGUGAAGCCAUUUAAUUUAACACAACUCUUCCCAGGGUCGUGUAGAGAAAACAGGUGAUUUUCCCUUCCAUUCCUCCUCUGAAAUAGUUGCUCUUAUCUUUUCUUCUCAAGUGGUUCCACUUGUGGAACUGCCUCAAAACAAAUCUGGGGCUAUGUGGAGCAGAAGGGAUGUAAAUGAUUUCCUCUGGGGACUUGUUGUCAGUAGGUAUUUGUAUCCUGGAAAAUUUGAAUGUAAUGAGAACUGAACUUGUCACCUUUGAAUCAUGGCUCCUUUUCAUUCUCUCUCCUAGAGCAUUUCACAGGAGAUAGCUUCAUGCUGAAUUAUAUUAUUUUGGUGCAUUUUUACCUAGCCUAAAUGAUCAUGGCUUAAAAAAAGUAAAUGGUGAUAUUUGUAUGACUUAAGUGCCCAGCACACCUAAAGGCAGUAGGUCAUGUUAUGUUAUAGUCGUGUUACAGCAUAAUGAAAUUAGCCUGUAAGGCAGUGAUAAAUGAAAUGGAGGUGAAUUCAAAAGGAGUAGUUUAAUUUUUCUGUUUUAUUGACUUUUUCUUCACCUCUCCAGUCUUCUACUUUACUGUUUCUCUCCCUUUUCUUAGUAUUUAAACCCCUCCUGUCUUCCCUGAUUUUUGAGUGAAUUCUAUUCUUAAAAAAAAAUUAAACAUGAAUUACCUGUGGUAAAAUGUAGCAUUUGAAGAAGACCUCUCUCCUGCCAACUUGGAGAUGUGUGGUCCCACUGUGUUUUUGGUGUGUGUUUAUUUAAAUAUUAAAUUACCAACUGAAAGCUAAUAAUACUGUAAGAAAAGUAUAAUUAUGAAGGUAAAUCUGUAUCAAAAAUUGUGUGGUGUACCUCAAGGUCAAAUAUGAUUAUUAGUGGAUAGUCUAUUUGAUAAUUACCCAUUCAUAGAUUUGUACAUAAAGUAGUGUUUUCAAAAUUGUGUAUUUUUAAAAUUCAUUCAGUUUCCCACAAAGUAUAAUCCACUAGAUCAUAAACAAAAUAACCUACUUCGGUAUAAUAGAACCACACCUGUAUGGAAAUAACUGAAAUGCACCAAAAUAGAAAUAUAAUAGUCUUUGUGCCAAAUAUUGUAAUGUAAUGUCUGCCGAGUCCUGAGUCCGUGGUUUUAUUUUCCCUUAGUACUCACUCCUGCUGAGCUCUAUGCAUUUGACAGCCACCUCUCUACCCUGUGGCCUUUGGCAGUGGCAGUGAGGGCAAUGAUGAUGCUACAAGUUGGCACACAGGCUUGGUGGGGCUGAGGACAUCCUUAUAGAGAAAGACAGCUGACAUGGAGUGUUACUGGCCUUGGAGGAUAUCUGCAGAAGUGUUGGAGAGCAGGCAGGGUGGAGCAUCAUGCUAGGAAAGAGAAGGGCUUGGGCCAGGAGGAUCACAGUGAAGGCCACCCAUAUCUAGCUUCUAAUCAUAGAGAUUUGUGUGGCCACAGUAGGCCCUUGUGCGAAGGCGUUAGAGAGGUGAAGGGCCACGGGUCACUCAUCAGGCACAAUCUCACUGGAUAAAUGAGGGAUUUAAUCAUUUAAUCACUUCUGAUGAAUGAAGUAUUCAUUUUCCCAUCAAAUUAAAUAACUCAUCUCCAGUAUUCCAAUGCAGUUUGGAUAUCCAUAUAUAUUUUCUUAAUGUAAACUCAGUUAUGUUUUAACCAGCAUGCAUUAUUGGUAUAAAAUUCUUCUUAUAGCAAUACAAUUUUAAACAUGUUAUACAUAGCAGCUAAUAAGUUAAAAUGAUACUAUAUAGUGAUUUAAAUGAUUCAUAUGGCUAAUGAUUAGCAACUUUUCUUGGAGAUUUAUACAAAUUUAUGACUUGGUCUCCAUUUCAAUUUAUUGUGUACAACAGUUAGUUUGUUUUAGUCAUUUUGAACAGUUAUUUCUUUGAGCCCAUGGCCACUGGUCAGAUAACAAGCUUACAACUAUUCUCUUCCUGAAGAUAACAGAUUCCUUUGGGACUUGUAGUCACACAUGUAAAGUAUGUGUUACGAGCCUGUACUGUGAAGGACAGUGUGUUUCUUGCUUCGCAUCCUGUUUUUUAAUACACACGUUAUUAUUGUGCUCAUUCUUAUGUUAGCUGUUUUGUUUUUUAGGUUGUAUUUAAAUUGCAUAGUCUCCAUUGCACUCAUUCCGUAAAUUUUUAUUUUCCCCAACAUUUUGCGACCUGAACUUCUUGCUUCCUCAGUGCUGCACGUGAGGUGGCCUUUGCUUUAUGGGAAAACUCUGCCGUUUUGCCUUGUCCUGGCUCGCUGUCACAGCCUGCUGCCCAUUCAUCCCCUCUUGCAUACCUGCCAGGGAUCAUUCCUGGAGGGACAGGUGUAGCUGUCAGAUCCCAGUGAGACCUUUCUCCCAGUUAUUGUUUUGUUUGUGAUCCUUGGGGAGAGUAGUGACCGGCUACAGCCUUUUCUCAAGGAGAAGCCACAUGGUGCUUCAAAAGGAAAGGCUUUUGCAUACUGGGGCCCGUGACAAGCAGGAGAGGCUGGCACCGGAGUCUUGAGUGAACGCUUUGACACACCGAGUCACAGCCCAUUAUCACUUGUUCUGGUGUCAAAACAAUACAGCAGUUUGAACUGCAGCUCAGCUCACUCCUGCUGUCACACAAGCUCCCUCCUAAGUCAUUAGAGUGCUGGCAUGGACUCUUUCUGGAUCAGUCAGAGAUGCAUUAGGAGAGGGGGAAGUAUUUAUUAAUUCAAUUUAAUAAGUGACUAUUAAUCAUCUGCUGUGUAUUGGGCAUUGCCCUGGGGCAGAGUGGAUGGGAAAAGAGGAGCAUUCCCAUACCAGUAUGGCAAGAUCCCCGACCCAAAUGUACCCUUGCCCAGGACAACACGCAAGUACGGUGGCUAUCGUGAAAACAAAAUUGCUUUGAAAAUUCAAAAGAGGGAGAAAUCUCAUCAGAUUGAAAAGAUCAGUUUAGACGGAUGAGGGAGGUGAUGUGUGAGAGGGGCCUUGACAAGACUGAAAGAUUUUGAUGGGCAGAGAGAAGGUGAGACAGACAGUUGGCAGCGAGUUCUGCUUGCCUGGUAUGCACGGUAUGUUUAAGAGGUAUCAGGACUCAAGAAUCUAUUGUAAAGUACCUUGGUUGCUAAGCUAAGAAGUUAAUGUUUUAUUUAGUGGUCUCCUGCUUGAGACCACCACUGAAAGGGUUUGAGUCAGUGGAGUGAAAUGUUAGGAAUAUGUCCGUCCUUAUUAAAAUGUUAGCUUAGGUAUUAAUCUGUUAAGACUGCAAGUGAUUAUAUGUAGCAAUAACUCUACAACAGUGGCUUAACCAAACAGGGAUUUUAUUUGUCUCGUAUAGGUGACCAGUGCAGCAUCUUCACAAUGCCACCAGGGGCCUGGGCUCAGGCUCUGGUCUUCCUGACAUCUCUUCUUAUGAGUGAAAAGUGGCUGCUGGAUCUCCAGAUAUCCGGUUCAUAUUCCAGGCAGGAAGAGGGUAGGGAAAGAAGAGCAGAAGGCCAAAUGCCUCUCAGGAAGCUCUGCCUUUAUUAUUCUGGAACGGACAGCCUUCCUUAAGACUUGGUCUUUAUGUGAGUCUCAAGACUAGAGAGCCUGGGAAAUCAAGUUUUUCAUUUGACACAAUGCUGCUCA